ensembl:snRNA U6 U6 spliceosomal RNA
GUGCUCCCUUUGGCAUCACAUAUAUUAUACUUGGAAUGAUACACAGAAGAUGAGCAUGGCUUCCGUACAAGGAUGACACACAAUUGGUGAAGCAUUCCAUAUUUUU